rnacentral:rRNA from 1 species
AUUGAACGCUGGCGGUAUGCUUAACACAUGCAAGUCGAACGGUAGCAGGCCUUCGGGCGCUGACGAGUGGCGGACGGGUGAGUAACGCGUGGGUGACCUACCCUGGAAUCUGGGAUAACACUGCGAAAGUGGUGCUAAUACCGGAUACGAUCCUGCCGCGAGGUAGGGUGAAAGUCGGCCUCUCGAAGAAGCUGAUGUUCCGGGAUGGGCUCGCGUCCUAUCAGCUAGUUGGUAGGGUAAUGGCCUACCAAGGCGACGACGGGUAGCUGGUCUGAGAGGAUGAUCAGCCACACUGGCACUGGAACACGGGCCAGACUCCUACGGGUGGCAG